UUAUGUAUAUUCUUUUCAUCAUGGAGGUCCAACUGCAUGACCAACACCAGGGCUGUGGCCUGGACCUCCAUCUUCUGAAACAUUAACAUUGCCAUGCAUGUUAUGAUCAUUAUCAUGACCAAAUUUGAAGUAGUUCUCUGCCACUACUUUUCUUUGGCUAUUUUCUCCAUGGCUUAUUAUUGUUUUGUUGUUCUUCUCUUUCUUCAAGACCCUUCCCUCACUCAAUAAAAUACCAUUUGAGAACAAGAUCAAUGUUAGGAAAAAAGCACAAGUGCACACUAUCGUUGGUUCAGCCAUUUCCUAAGGAAAACCAAUUGUAGUGCUAACUCUCUCUCUAUGUCUCUUUCUUUGUACGCGGGUUGGUGGUAUGUAUGAUUCUGGAAGUUGAUACUCCUUUGAGGAUGGAAAGUUGAAACCAUACUUGAAAUCGCUGCCUAUUCCAGAAGUAAACAAUGAACCUGUCAAGGUGGUAGUUGCAGAGACUCUUGAGGAUAUGGUGUUCAACUCCGGGAAAGAUGUACUGCUAGAGUUCUAUCGACUUGGGUGUAAAUACUGUGAGGAGUUUGCUCCAGUCUUGGAUGAAAUAGCUCUCUCAUUUGAAAAAGACCCUGAAAAAAUAUAACUUGUAUAACGUGGACUGAUCCACGUUAUACAAAAAUUGU